rnacentral:rRNA from 1 species
AUGCUGCCGGCUAGCGUCAAGUUCGAUCCCAUGGAUCAGGAGCUGAUCGAGCACCUUGAGGCCAAAGUGAGUGCUGACAGCGCGAGAUUUCAGUCUCUCAUCGAUUUGUUCAUACCAACCAUCGACAGCGAGCACGGCAUAUGCUACACCCAACCUGAGAAACUUCCAGCAAAAAAGGUACUGGUGUUGCAUACCAACAAGAACUUCGACCAUCAGAGGACCAACUGGGUGAUGCACCAGUACCACCUCGGGGACCUGGAGCAAGAGAAGGAGCGGGAGCUGGUCCUCUGCAAGAUUUUCUACUAG